rnacentral:rRNA from 1 species
AUUGAACGCUGGCGGCACGCUUUACACAUGCAAGUCGAACGGCAGCGCGGGGGCAACCCUGGCGGCGAGUGGCGAACGGGUGAGUAAUGCAUCGGAACGUAUCCUGUAAUGGGGGAUAACGUAGCGAAAGUUACGCUAAUACCGCAUACGCUCGAGAGAGGAAAGUGGGGGAUCGCAAGACCUCACGUUAUAGGAGCGGCCGAUGUCCGAUUAGCUAGUUGGUGGGGUAAAGGCCUACCAAGGCGACGAUCGGUAGCUGGUCUGAGAGGAUGAUCAGCCACACUGGGACUGAGACACGGCCCAGACUCCUACGGGAGGCAGCAGUGGGGAAUUUUGGACAAUGGGCGAAAGCCUGAUCCAGCCAUGCCGCGUGCGGGAAGAAGGCCUUCGGGUUGUAAACCGCUUUAGUCCGGGAAAAAGGGGUGCGAGGAUAAUACCCUCGUGCUUUGAUGGUACUGGAAGAAUAAGCACCGGCUAACUACGUGCCAGCAGCCGCGGUAAUACGUAGGGUGCGAGCGUUAAUCGGAAUUACUGGGCGUAAAGCGUGCGCAGGCGGUCUUGUAAGACAGUCGUGAAAGCCCCGGGCUUAACCUGGGAACUGCGAUUGUGACUGCAAGGCUAGAGUGUGUCAGAGGGGGGUGGAAUUCCACGUGUAGCAGUGAAAUGCGUAGAGAUGUGGAGGAACACCGAUGGCGAAGGCAGCCCCCUGGGAUAACACUGACGCUCAUGCACGAAAGCGUGGGGAGCAAACAGGAUUAGAUACCCUGAUAGUCCACGCCCUAAACGAUGUCAACUGGUUGUUGGA